UGGACAGCAGUUUUAAUCAGGCUUCAUGUUUCUCAAAAUGGGUAUUACUCAUUAUAAAUCUGUUCAUGUUCGUGAACCUGAUGGCUUCAUUUUGGGA